rnacentral:SRP_RNA from 1 species
GCCGGGCGUGGUGGCUCACGCCUGUAAUCCCAGCACUUUGGGAGGCCGAGGUGGGCGGAUCACCUGAGGCCAGGAGUUCGAGACCAAUCUGGCCAAUAUGGUGAAACCCCAUCUCUA